CGUAUAAGGCACUCCUUGAUGGCCAACAUAUUGUUGCUCACACACACACACACACGCACACACACUGCACUCUACACUAACUAAAAUUGGCCACAACUCUUGGGAUUUUGCAACGAACUGACUUGGGCGGAGGCUGGCGCUGCACUUGAGGCGAAAAAUAGAAAAGCGCUUUUCACUCGCGUCAACUUUAUACAAGACACUCGAC